AGCCAUUCACAGAGAGCUCCAAAUAAGGCAGCGAAAGCGGGGUCAAAGGGCUGGACGGGCCCCGGAGCGAGAUCUUCCCAUCCCUGGGCGAGCAAGAAAAGGCCCGGAGGGGAGAUGCGAGGGGCCCCGCCCUCCUCCUGGCGCCGCCUCCGGCCGCCGCGGCCCCGGGUGGGCAGAGGACCCACUGGAACACCCAGGAAGCGCGGAGACACAAUGGCGGCCGAGGCCACCAUUUUGGAUCGUUCCCCCCUUGUCUCCCAGCUCCCCGCCAAGAUCUGCUCUCAGAAAGGGGUGAAGACAACAGAACUGGACGCCCGCCUGCGCGCCGGCGGCCACGGCGCCGGCCCGGCACCGGGUAUCAGGGACCCGCGCGGCGGGGCGAGCCGCGGGAGAAGCAGAUGGCGGUGGAUGGUGCACAGGGCCAAAGCUUACCUAAGCACUGCGAGCGUGUAUGGCGGCAGCAACGGGGACGGAGGCGGGAAGCUGCCUUCACUUCCGGUUCCAGGCUCGCCCCGGCCUCCCGCCUUCCCGGCCGCCAGGGCGCACGCGCAAGGAGCCGGAAGCAGGCUUUCGCCGCGCGCGCUCCGCGGCUGGCUUUGCAGAACGCCCACUUGAAAUGAAGCUUCAGACGACGCCUCCUCCGGUCGCCAGUAGCAAGAGCGCGACAGGAAACUCACGUCUUCCCCCGCAGAGCUCUCCAUUUUGUUCUUCUACGCUUAUGCAACACCCUCCGACGGUCGGCUCUACUUUAGUUUUGUUUGCCACGCCAGGCUUCUCCCUGGGCACCUCUCUGUGGGCAUGGAGGACUCCGCGAUCGAAUGAGAAGCGUUUCUCACGGGGUCCUUAGCCUCGUAGUCAAGGUGACCCGAGAGCGGCUAACUCGGGCCUCUGCUGGAGGGGAGGGGGACACGUGACCACGCCCAUUACAGUCGUGCAGAGAAUAGGCAGGAUUUACCCAAAAUUAUAUCGAAAGAUGGAGGCUUACAUUCUGUCUAGGUGCUAAAUAAAUGGUGGGGUUUGAGGUUAUGCACCUUUCCAUAAUUCUUGCUAACUAGAGCAGCAGAAUAAUCUCAGUUCCAUUAUUCAGCCUGGACAUCCCCCUCCCCCCAUGUGGUAUUCCCUUUGAGAUGUUACAUAUAGCAGAAGUGUUGUCCUGUUGCCUUGCUACAUAAACACAAGCUCGGGCUUUCCCUAUUAAGGACACUUAAUAUUAAUACAAAGUAACACUAAGUAUCAGUGUUGCCAACCAGCUGGCUGUGUCCUGCUCAACGCAUAAGCUCUCUGGGCUGGGGCUUGGUAGCUUUUGAUCCCUCCGCAUUUGGCAGCCCUAAGCAGCAGGCCGGCGGGUUUUGUAUAAAUCAGAGAGGAGUGGGAAUUCCUCGGCCCUGGUAACUUAUUACGAACUGUAGCUCCAGAAAGUGCGGUACCUGGGCCUUUAGCUUUGAAGCGUUUCCAGGAACUCUCCUAGUGACCUAGUUGGCGGGCUCUUAGCCACUGUCUUCCUGUUACUGGACCUAAUGUGACAUUGUGGAGGGUAGCAUAGUAAGGUUUGUCCCAGCUGACCCAAGUGAGCCAAACUUUCUGCUUUACAGCCAGCAAAGGGUGUUUGCACCAAACACAGCAAACAGCAAACUCGUGCAAAUGAAGACUUGUGUUUGCACCAAUCAUAAUAUUGUCCCUUUGGCAUCAGUGAUAACACAUCUUCCUGCUACUGGACUAUGGGAAGUUCCACCCUCCACUGGGGGAGGAGAGAGAGGACAGAAACAAUCCUGGCUGAGCCAUUAGCUGUGUGGUUUCCUCAAAGACUUUAUAGAAGAUUCAAAAUGGCCAUGCUGACAGUCCUCGUUAAGGUAGCCAGGGCAGGAAGGGAUUGUCUUAACAGCUGGCUGUGAUUUUAACAAUGCUUAAAACCUGGGCCACUGGGGCCACAGCAAGGUGAGUGCCCCUCAUCUGUCUUGCCAUUUUUUUCUUCCUUUCUCUGUUACUGAGUUUGAGCAGUUAUAUAGACUGGCCUCAAGCUCUCAAUUCUCCUGCUGGAGGAUUUGAAUGCAGACCCAUGCCCCGCUCCACUCUUCCUGUAAACAUAUGAAAAUAGAGAAAUAAAACAAGGUGGCCAAGGC
rnacentral:lncRNA from 1 species